UCUCCGUAGGUGAACCUGCGGAGGGAUCAUUACACAAAUAUGAAGGCGGGCUGGAACCUCUCGGGGUUACAGCCUUGCUGAAUUAUUCACCCUUGUCUUUUGCGUACUUCUUGUUUCCUUGGUGGGUUCGCCCACCACUAGGACAAACAUAAACCUUUUGUAAUUGCAAUCAGCGUCAGUAACAAAUUAAUAAUUACAACUUUCAACAACGGAUCUCUUGGUUCUGGCAUCGAUGAAGAACGCAGCGAAAUGCGAUAAGUAGUGUGAAUUGCAGAAUUCAGUGAAUCAUCGAAUCUUUGAACGCACAUUGCGCCCUUUGGUAUUCCAAAGGGCAUGCCUGUUCGAGCGUCAUUUGUACCCUCAAGCUUUGCUUGGUGUUGGGCGUCUUGUCUCUAGCUUUGCUGGAGACUCGCCUUAAAGUAAUUGGCAGCCGGCCUACUGGUUUCGGAGCGCAGCACAAGUCGCACUCUCUAUCAGCAAAGGUCUAGCAUCCAUUAAGCCUUUUUUUCAACUUUUGACCUCGGAUCAGGUAGGGAUACCCGCUGAACUUAAG
rnacentral:rRNA from 1 species